rnacentral:rRNA from 1 species
CGCGAAUAGCUCAUUACAACAGCUAUAAUUCACUUGAUCUUGACACAAUCCUACUUGGAUAACUGUGGUAAUUCUAGAGCUAAUACAUGCACCAAAGCUCCGAUCCUCGCGGAGAGGAGCGCAUUUGUUCGCCACAAAACCAAGCGCCCUUCUGGGCGUCCAGUGCUGAACCAGAACAACUCAGCUGAUCGCACGGUCUUGCACCGGCGACGUGUCUUUCAAGUGUCUGCCUUAUCAACUUUCGAUGGUAGUGUACCUGACUACCAUGGUUGUGACGGGUAACGGAGGAUAAGGGUUCGACUCCGGAGAAGGGGCCUGAGAAAUGGCCACUACGUCUAAGGAUGGCAGCAGGCGCGCAAAUUACCCACUCUCAACGCGAGGAGGUAGUGACGAGAAAUAACAAGACCGUUCUCCUACGAGGCCGGUUAUUGGAAUGGGUACAAUUUAAACCCUUUAACGAGUAUCUAUGAGAGGGCAAGUCUGGUGCCAGCAGCCGCGGUAAUUCCAGCU